rnacentral:lncRNA from 13 species
AUUUCAGCUUUGAAGAUUCUCUGUUUGACUUUGGCUGUGGUCAUCUGAUUUUGAUAAGCCUACAUUUGGAUAUUUUUCAGAUAAUUGCACUUGGGAGAUCAUUGAACUUUUUGAUUGUGUGAUUUAGUGUUUCUCUUUAAAAUGAAAUUUGAGAGCAAGAAUAUGGAGUUGGGGAUAUCCCACUCAUCUCCUUCCAAAGAAACAAGCAUUUGGCAGCCUUUCACAGAAAAAAAGCACAGUUGUGAGUGCACUGGAAUUCAGGUCAGAGGUAGCAAACCUCAGGAUAGCCCAAGAAUGAAGACGGCUGCUUUAAAUACUUAUUAUAUUGGGUAAUGACAGAAGAAAGCCACUGUACUAGAAAGGGCGUAGCCCAGACUUGCUGUAAGAGGGUGAUUUAUGCACCAGUCCAUAGGCUGACACUGAUGACCAAGGACACCUGGGGCUGAGCUGUACACCCAGGGAAGCAGGGCCCAGGCAGCCUGCCAUGAGAUCGUGCUCCAAGGACCGGCCGUUCUGCUGGACCCACGGGCUCCUGGUAUUCAUCAGCCUGCUCCUCAGUGUCUGCAGCUCUGCAGCCAACACUUCCGGAGCGCAUGGCUCUGCUGUGAAGGAUUCUGAAAACCACAUUUAUCUGAAGCGCAUCCGAGGAGGUUCUGUCUUGUUUAAUGUGACCGAGAAGCCCAUGGCAGAUGCAGGAGCCAAAAUACAGGAGGUUUUAUGGGGUUUGGGCACUCCGUCAAAGUACAUGCGGCUGCUGCAAGUCCGUAGAGGAGCCGACUCUCCCACCUGGUUUAACCUCCAGGACAAGUUCAAGCAGAGGGUCCAUGUGCCCAGCCUGUGGUCUCUGAGGAUUGAGAACCUGGCCCCUGAAGACAGUGGGCCAUACGUGGCCAUGACCAGCUUAACUGAUGGACAAACGCUUGGUCACGUUUUCUACCUGACUGUCUAUGAGCCUGUGCCUCACCCUGAGAUCCUGGCCAAGUCACUGUCUAUCACACCAGGCCUGUGUAACAUCACUCUGGAGUGUAGGGUUCCAGGGGCCACCCAGGAUCUGAAUGUGACUUGGGAGAGCAAGGGCCUCUUCAGAGAGCUGGAACAGAGAGACACACCAGGAUCAACCGCCAAGCUUUGGACCCUGGCUGUGAGCCUGCCCCUGAGCCAGCAGAUUGGCGAUGUCACCUGUGUGGUCAGCAACCAGGUGGAUCAGAAAGCUGCGACCUUAGACCUUGGAAAAGUCUGUGCCCAAGGAACAAGUACACAAAAACAGGACAUGAUUAGACUGCUGCCAGGCAUCCUAGCAGCUGCUGUGGGUGUCCCGUUGGUCCUGGGAACUGGGUUGUUCCUUUUGAAGACAUGUCAGAAGAAGAAGAAGACAACAAUGGAAAUAAAAAGGGGUGGAGGAUUGCAGAAGAACCAUGGGGUUGAUGAUGGUGGCAUCCCCUUUGAGACGCUCAGCCAGCAAGUGCAAGAGCAUCGGUGAACAAUAUCUGGGAAAAAAGGAAUCUCUCAUUACUACCUGCAGUGAGGUCUGUUAUCCAGACCAGACGAUGGAGAUCAUUUGAUUGGAGGAAGCAGGAGGAUCUGGCACUCCCAGGACACCUGCACUCUGAGCCUAAGUCCUGCAGACCCCUGCCUUUCCCAGCUCUGAUUCAGUUCCAGCUUCCCCUUGUGUGUGUUGAAUUGUCAGAGGCUGCAGUAAAUGUACUCCCUUGGAGAGGCAUCGCUGCCAACAUUUCUGAAAGGCUAUGUCAGUACCAGUGGGGCCCCUGCAACAAUACUUGCCAUCCAGCCUGGACUUUCUUGGACCAAAUCAAUCAAUCUAUCUUUGCCAAAAUCAGAUGAAAUGUCAACUCCAACCUUGCCUUGCAUCAAAAGCCUUGGUAUCCUGCCCAAUAUGCCUGAAACGGCAUAUACUGGGAGACUACUGUGCUGGUAGCUGGUCUCCAUAUAGCUCCCCUUUGUUUGGAGACUUUAAAUGGCUACGCUAAUGCCACUCUGGGGUUUCCCCCACCAGACAAUUGUCAACACAUACUCCAAAUCAAUAACACUACCCCCAACGAAACACAGUCUCUUUCCUACUUCAAUAGCACCUUAUACACUCUAAUUAUAGUGAAACCAUUGCUAUCCCCUGGGGGCCCUCUGGCUAUGCAGAUCCUGUGGGUGGUGAUACCUGCCUCCACAUUGGACAGGGACAUGCACUGAGGGUGGCCAUUAAUUUUAUUCAUGGUCUGGGAUAAUAUUCCCCUCCCCAGUAAUCUAGAUGCUUGCAAACCUCACUGGUUAUGAAUGUGCCAGACUCUUUUUUGGUGGGACCCUAUCACAGCAUUCUUUCCCUGCCACUGGUACAAUCCUGUUUCAGCAACAAAUUAAAAUAGUAAGCUUAUAUGUAGUAAAAGCUCUUAAUGAUAGUAGCACUAAACUUGUGUUGUCGUUGGAUGAAUUUGCUCAGCUGCAUACUGUUGCAUUGCAAAAUCGAAUGGAAUUAGAUACGUUUACCGCAGUCUGAGGAGGGGUUUGCACCUUACUGUAUACUGAAUAUUGUAUGUAUAUCCCUGACAAUUCUCACAAUAUUACCCUUCUUGCCCAAGACAUGCAAAAACAAGUAAAACAGUCAGAAUCUAACCAUCAGCAUCCCAUCAUGGACUGACUGUCCAGCUGGCAUUGGCACUGGCCAUGGUAGGUGUGGAUUUUAUUAAUUAUGCUUUUAAUUUUCCUAUGCUUGUCCUGUAUGUGUAACCUAUAUCAACUAUGUAUUCCUGGUUUAUCUGUAAGGUAUUUUCCUUAUAACUGAGUACUAAAUUGAGGCCAAAUGUGGAGCAGAAGUUAAAUAUUAAAUUUAAACUCAAUUGAACAUGGACACAAACCAGAUAACUUCUAAUCUUAUGGCCUUGGGCAGUCUAGUCUACAGACAUGAAGGAAGUUUGUUUGGGAAAAAAAUAUUGAAGAAUAAUUUAUAGAAAAAAGAACUGUAUAUGGUAAAUUCUUAUCCUAAAAGUAAUUAACUGAUUUUUUUUUUUGAGACGGAGUUUUGCUCUUGUUACCCAGGCUGGAGUGCAAUGGCGCGAUCUCGGCUCACCACAACCUCCGCCUCCUGGUUUCCGGCAGUUCUCCUGCCUCAGCCUUCUGAGUAGCUGGGAUUACAGGCACGUGCCACCAUGCCCAGCUAAUUUGUUUUUUUUUUUUUUGUAUUUUCAGUAGAGAUGGGGUUUCACCAUGUUGACCAGGAUGGUCUCAAUCUCUUGACCUCAUGAUCCACCUGCCUCGGCCUCUCAAAGUGCUGGGAUGACAGGUGUGAGCCACCGCGCCCAGCCUAAUUACCUGAUUUAUUAAAAAAAAUAUACUUACAAGUCAGAAAGUUGAAGCUUGUCAAAAAUUGUCUGUAAAAGUCAUAAAAAUUUUGUAAAAAACUUUAUGCAAGAAAUGUUGUACAAUUUAAUUGUAAAAUAAAUUCUGUGUAUAAACAUAUUGGCUAAAGUUG